GCAGGGCCACCACGAAUGGCUAUGCACUGCACAACCCUAGGAGAGGGUGCCAUUCACAUAGACUAGAAUUGAAUGGCGCCACUAGGGUUGUGCAGUGCACAACCUACACACCUAUACUCGGU
rnacentral:pre_miRNA from 8 species